GCGUCUGUAGCUCAGAUGGCAGAGCGGUGGUACGUUACCCCACGGUCCCGGGUUCAAGUCCCGACGGUCGCU